rnacentral:rRNA from 1 species
GACGAGUUUGAUCAUGGCUCAGGAUGAACGCUAGCUACAGGCUUAACACAUGCAAGUCGAGGGGCAGCAUUGGAGUAGCAAUACUUCAGAUGGCGACCGGCGCACGGGUGAGUAACACGUAUCCAACCUGCCGCUUACUCGGGGAUAGCCUUUCGAAAGAAAGAUUAAUACCCGAUGGUAUAAAGAGUUCGCAUGUUCUCUUUAUUAAAGAAUUUCGGUAAGCGAUGGGGAUGCGUUCCAUUAGAUAGUUGGCGGGGUAACGGCCCACCAAGUCUACGAUGGAUAGGGGUUCUGAGAGGAAGGUCCCCCACAUUGGAACUGAGACACGGUCCAAACUCCUACGGGAGGCAGCAGUGAGGAAUAUUGGUCAAUGGACGAGAGUCUGAACCAGCCAAGUAGCGUGAAGGAUGACUGCCCUAUGGGUUGUAAACUUCUUUUAUAAGGGAAUAAAGUGAGGGACGUGUCCCUUUUUGUAUGUACCUUAUGAAUAAGGAUCGGCUAACUCCGUG